rnacentral:rRNA from 1 species
UACGUAGGGGGCAAGCGUUGUCCGGAAUUAUUGGGCGUAAAGAGCGCGUAGGCGGUCCGAUAAGUCGGCUGUGAAAGUCAGGGGCUCAACCCUUGAAAGCCGGCCGAUACUGUCGGACUAGAGUCCGGAAGAGGCAAGUGGAAUUCCCGGUGUAGCGGUGAAAUGCGUAGAUAUCAAAAGGAACACCUGAGGUGAAGACGGGUUGCUGGGCCGACACUGACGCUGAUGCGCGAAAGCCAGGGGAGCAAACGGG